GGAAGCCAGGGCAGUUGGGAAGCUGCAAGGAGAAAAGGAUGAGCUCAUUGCAAUCCUUGAUUCGUGACAAGCAGAGCUGCUGCUGCCGCCGCCGCCACUGCCUCUUGCUGUGAAUCAGUAAUGAAGGGGUCGGGAAGGACGGGAGGGGAGCGGAGGAGACAGACGUGGGAAUGGCGUGGACCCAAAUCCAAGAGUAAUGAGAAUUACACCUCUCUCUACAAGCAAACCAGAGCAGUGCUUCUGACAUCAUCUUUUUGUCACAUUUACUAGCUGUGUGACACGGGGAGUCAUGCAGAAGAGGAGAAAAGGUGUAAAAUGCAUCGUGUUCAUCUGGGUUCAGGCUCAGAAAGACAAGAAGGACUCGGGCUGUGUUAACAUCAGAAAGAGCCAAACGCUGAAAAGGACACCAUUCCUGAGAGACCAAGGGCCUCUUCCGUCCACGCGCACGAUUUAGACACAUUAAUAAUCCAUAGAAAAGGAUGAUGCUCUUUCUCAACCAGGAGAGGAAAAGUUGCAAAACCUUAAUGCUGUAGCUAUUUCUGUUUUUGUCUGAUAGACUACUUUUUAAAUGACGAGCCCUAAUAAUUUGGUACGUUCCCAAGAUCCCACAAACAAGUCAAAGAUGACACGAGUCAUGUCGGUAGCUUGAUGCUGUACAAGCCCACACAACUCACUCUGCCGCUCAAGUCUUGAUUCUGCUCCACACUGUGCCACGUCAUUCUGGGGACAGAAAGACACAUCAGGUGCUGCUUCUAACUUUAUGGAUCAUUCAAGCUACUUGAAGAAAAGGCUAAAAUGAAAUGCAAUGAGACUGAGCACGCAAGUUACGUUGCAGGGAAAUGAGUCUCAUUACUUUGUAGGUGGAACUCACACACUGAAGAAUUAGAGUGAAAAUAAAAGAAAAUACAUAAUUAACUGGCACCAUGGUGGGUAGUUCAGGUAACAAGUGUAUAGGAAUUCAAAGGGGGGGGAAAAAGCUUCCUGUAAAAGAUUAUAGACUUGCCGAGUUUUUUAGGUAUGUUCUGACCUCUUGUGAGACUUAAGGCAUAAUGACCUUAAAUGCGAUUUUUGUUUUGUUUUGUUUUUAAAAGAAGAGAGAACUUUCGUCCACCAAAAGUAAUUUGAUAUAACAGUCUGAGUAGUCAUGGCAGUGUCACCAUUACCUUACUACCGGCCCCUGGGAUCAGAUUCUAGUGUAAUGCCUUGGUUAGGGCAACAACUUCCACAGUCUCUUGGAGAGCUAGUCAUUUUGCCUCUGCUUUCAUUUCUUCAUCGACAAUUAGCUCAAAAGGCUGGACAUUUUAUUUUAUUACUGGACAUUUAUAUGUGUUUAAAAAGGACUAGUAUGGUAAGCCAGAAAUCUGAAACCCCUAGUCACUGGGUUGGCUUUUAUAGUUUAUAAUAACACAGAACAAGACUUAUUCUGUAUAAUAACACAGAAUAUUUUCCUUAACAUGUGAUGUUAAGUCAGUCUUAAUUUCCUUUUUUUUUGGUUGUUUUUCAAGACAACCAUCCCUACUACUAACUGGGCCUCCUAUGAGCUGGUUUCUGGACCAUUCUAGACUGUUCACAAUCCUACCUCCUGCACCAAGGACAAGCUUUUUUUUUUGGCCAGUGUCCCUGAACACGUACUACCCACACUGAAAAGGAUAUUCUAGAUACGAUAACAGAAUAAUAAAUAAUGCGAUGCUGUUAGAUGCUAGAAAACGUCGAAGUCUAAUAUGUGUAUCCUAUUGAUGGAAAGACUGAGGCAGCAGAUAAGUGAGCUGCUCAGGGUCACGAAACUUGUCGGAGGGAGAGCCAGGGAGCCAGGGUCGCAGACCCCAGCUGCACAGGCGCAAACCACCAUCCCCUGCACCGUCACGUGCUACCUUUCAAUUAGUGUAGGCCAUUGAAAAGCUACCUUACUAGGACGACGGUCCCACCAUUUCAUUCCACGUGGACUUGGUCUGGAGCCUGUGCUCACCAUCUAGUAUGGGAGAAGCUACGAGUCUUCGAUUUGAGUGGAGAGGGGCCUUCCAGAAACCUGCCUUGACAAUAGUCACUCUAAACACAGAUGUGCUCGUGGUAACGAAGCGCAUCUGCCUUCUCAGGUUUCAACUGAGCAGCACCUCUUCUUCAAUCAGACAGAGCGGCUACGUCCUUGGCACAGUGUCUGCACAUGGGCAGCCUUCUGGAAGCCAUGUUGGCAGGGCAGGCUUGACAAUGAAAAGCUGUCUCAUUUCAUCCAUCGCCUGGGCAGAGCAUGCAGGGCUCAUCUUCAUUUCCAAGCGGAAGCAGAAGGCACACGUGAGAGUCAGCUGGGGCCUCCUCUUUCAUUUUAAAUUGAUCAGAUUAAAAUGAUGACAUAUAGAAUCUCAACUACUUCUUGGUCCUCUCAAGCUAGCUCAGCAUCUGACUUUUGAUUUGUGUGUGUGUGUGUGUUGUCAUUGUCACUAAAAAUAAUGAGGUGCUGUGCUCAUCUUGGUAAGUUGUAAAUUGCCUCUGCCUUCUUCCUCUCAUCCAUCUCCAGCUCUCUAUUAAAUCUGCUAUCUCUGGCAUCUUCACGUUACUCAGACUGCUAGGUGUAGUCUAACAGCUGUCUCUGUGAAAAAUAAUAUUUUCAGUGGAGGAGUUCUAUGGGUCAGCCCAUGUAUUAGCAAGUGAAUUUGUUUCACCAAAUGAAUGUGCCAAGAAGGGGACAUUUGUUUAUUUAUUUAUUUUGAAUAGACAAAUCUGCUUUCUGAAAUAAAGAUGGCGAUAGAUUGUACAGCUAUACCAUUUCCCCCCCAACCCUGCCUGCCUCCCACUCACUCACUCAUUCAUGGUUUCAAAUGAGUUCAGUUGAAAUUGGGAAGUAGUGAAAUGGCGACAGUGGAGGUGAUUUUUCCUCUCCUUUCACUGGAGGUGGCCAGCUCUCUCUCCACCUCCCUUACAAGUUCAGUACUAUACCAAGUAUUGCCACAGGCUGUCUUGCAGGACGAUAGUCACAAGUGAACACAUGGAUACAGGUCUCUCCUGCGUGCCCGGCUCCUUUACGUGUCUCACACUCAUGCUUGUUCCAAGCAGGGCUUAACAAAGCAACUUACACAUCGCCAACUCUUUAUAAAUCUUUAAAUGACUAAAAGAAUCAGUAAUAAUAGCUACCAUUUAUUCAGUGUUUAUAAAGGCCAGGAACUAUGCUAAGCCCUUAGAAUAUGUAUGAUUGGCUUUAAUCUGAACAAGCAAUUAUGCCCAUUUUGCAAAGGAGGCAGCUGAGCCUAGAAAAGCUAAGUGACUUGCCCAAGAUCAUGUAGCUCAGAAGUGGUGAGUACAACUACAAUUUUUUGGAUAACUACUCAUCUGAUAUCUAAGUAUCAAAUUGAGUUAUCUGAACCAGUGAAGGGGGUGAAGUUAAACAAGCUACAUCUAGAGGCUAAUCAAUAGUCCAGUGGAAACAACGGGAUUUAUGUGGUCAUGUCACUAUGACUAUACACAGUGUCUUGGGUUCUAAAAGAAAUGACACAUACAAAAAUGGAGCAAAACCUUCUGCUCAAAGAGCAGCAUCUGUACCCUGCUGAUCUUAUCCACAUCCUUCUCGAUUAUUGCUAUUGAACAACUCAGACAUGAGAUUAGCCUCUCCUUCUCUACAGAGCUCCUUACUGGCAUAAACAGCAUGAUAUGCAAUUUAAUCUCAGCAUGUCCAAAGUCACCAUGUCUUCCCCAAUGCAGUUCCUCCUUUUACAUGGCGUCUCCUGGCUGACAGCAUCCUCAUCUACCCAAUUACCCCAAUGCACACCUGGGUGGCAUCCUAGAGUCCUCCUUUCACCUCAAAACUUUUAAUAACCCUUCCAAAUGUUGUCAUGGAAAGAACAAAAGCUGAGAUAUCAGAGCUAUAGGAUUUAAAACCUAUAUUUGAUGUCCAGUAGCUGUAUGACUUCAGGAAAGUUAGCCUCUUUGAGUCUCAUUUUUCAUUAAGAAAAUGAGGUUUAAAAUAGUAAUCUUCUGAAGUUGCUAAUGCUACAAACAUCUGUGACAUUUCAAACUUGGUAAACUGGGAUGGCAGUCAGGAUAUUAACUAAUAGGGACAGCGCUGGGGACAGGAGAAGAUGAAGGACAGAUGGAGUUAGCACGCAGUAUGUGGCCAUCUGUGGUGAUGUGCCAUGGGCCAUGGGAAAUGAGUCCAGAGCCAACGGGUGGCUAUAGAAAGCCUGCGUAGACAUGGGCAAGAUGACUUCUGGAAAUGAAUGGGGAAACUAGGGAACAUAUAGGAGCCAUGAAGAGAUGUUCUCAUAGUAUGUCUUGAUAUCCUUCAGUGAUCCCAGAUGCGCCUUAAUAACCAGUUGUAUAAUUCCAUGUUAGGGAACGACCUCCCCCAGCAGACAGAAUGUUCCCUGAGGGGAGGCACUGUGUCUGCUUCCCUUACCUGUAUGUCCCCAGUACCUGUACAGUGACUCCAUAAGCAGCAGCUCAGGAAAUGAUUCCUGAGUUGAUCAAUGACAGAACCUCCUGUAAAAUGGGCUUUCUAAUCAUUUGCUUGAAAUUUGGUGGCCUCAAUAGUCAUGUGAGGAUACAAAUUUCUAAUUCAAACGUGCUAAGGUGGGGGUAAGAAGAAACACCUCACACGUUCCUGUGGUGGUCCAGACAUUGUGUCAUCCACUUUCAUGUGCAAUCUCAUUUCAUUCCUGUGAUACGUUAGAAUAAAAUCAUUGCUAAAAUAAAUGAUUUGAUCAUGGUUUUCAAAAUCAUUGUGCUCCAUUUCUACAUCCUUGAUUCCUCACUUUCCCUGCGCCUUCCAAAUUCAAUUCAUCUACAAGCCCUGUCAGCCCUAUCUACAAAAUUAGCUUGAAUUUGUCCUCUUUUUCCAUCUUUGCUGACACUACAAACUACCAUCAUUUCCUGCUCAUCCUACUGAAAUAAUGCCCUAACUAGUCCACACUUCUACUCUCUCCUCUUUAAAAUGCACAUCCACAUAACAGAAUUCCUCAGUGUCUUAAAACUACAAAUCAGAUCCAACGUCUUCCUGCUUAGAACUGAGACUGGGUUCCCGUUAUACCAAACGCUUUGCUACUGUUUCUGUCUCCACCGAUGUGAGCUCACCCAGGCCUCGGAUCACACCUCCUUCCUCUCUACAUCCUGCUCACUGGCCUCCAGUCUCACUAGCCUCCUUUCUGUUUCAAACAUGAACGUUUCUUCCGCCUUAGGGCCUUUGCACUUGCUGUGCCCGCUGAUCUUCAUUUGGCUGCUCCCCUGCACCCUUCACGCCAAUGUUAUUUUGCUCACAGAGCUUUCUCUUUCCGUCUUAUGUAAUGGCGGGCAGUGACAUUCCCUCGUCUCAUUUCUUUCAUGGCAUCUAUCUACUGGAAAUUGUUUACUUCUUUUUUAUGUAUUCUCCCUCUCUCCAACUAGAAAAUAUCAGGACAAGGCUCACAGGGAGAAGAGAGCUGUGAAAAUCUUUAUCGGCAAGUUAUUAGAGAAAACAAACAUAAGAUUCUUGUCUCAGCUGCUUCCAUUCACUCCUUCAUUCAUUCAUUUUUACUUUAAAAGAUUACUUUACUAGGCCUUUAA